GGUUGCGAUCAUACCAGCACUAAUGCACCGGAUCCCAUCAGAACUCCGCAGUUAAGCGUGCUUGGGCGAGAGUAGUACUAGGAUGGGUGACCCCCUGGGAAGUCCUCGUGUUGCAACCCCCUUUUUUUUCGUUUUUUUGGUUUAUUUUAUUUACUAGUCGCUGUAUCUUUGGCGUAGCAUGACGAAUGCGCGCGCGCGCACGGCGGGCCCGAGGCGCGUGACGUAGGCCACACAUGAGGGCAUAGGUGCGAAUGGGAUCAAGGCGUGGAAAGGUAUAAAGGAAUAAGGAGAAGGUAUUCUUUCGGUUGCGAUCAUACCAGCACUAAUGCACCGGAUCCCAUUAGAACUCCGCAGUUAAACGUGCUUGGGCGAGAGUAGUACUAGGAUGGGUGACCCGCUGGGAAGUCCUCGUGUUGCAACCC
rnacentral:lncRNA from 1 species